rnacentral:rRNA from 1 species
AUGUGUACUGGGAUGGACCUUAAUAUGACAAAUCUUUGGCUUCAUGGGAAGGAACAUAUAGCCGCUUCAUUCUCUCAAGCUGAACAGAGCUCAGAAGCAGUUGAGACUUCUAGAAAAUCAUUUGGGCAGAGGAGUCGAAGUUCCCCUGUUCCUGAUGAUGACUGCAGGCUGGUCCUAGGACUAGGACCAAUGCCAAAUCUGUAUUCUGCUGAUAGUCAAUCAUCCGGUGGGAACAAAGUUAAAUUAUCUGGAAUUUUGUUCACCCAACAUUGUACUGCAAGUGAUCCUGGGUUACAGGUGGACACUUCAAGAGGCAGCUCAAGAAAUUUACAGUCCACAACAGUGCCUGGCCGCAAGGAGCAUUCACAUAAAAGAAAAAAUGGUAUUGUAUUCCCACAUAUUGGCGAGGGAUCAACUUCAGCCAAAAGGAAGCCAGGUGAUUAUGAGCUGUCACCUCUGUUUGCUCCAAGAUCAGAUGGUCUUUUUAUUGAUAGAACAACGGCAGAGCCUGAUGUCCAGCAACACCUUGGAACCGGAUAUGAGGCCGAUCAUGAUUUAUCUCUUGAGCAGCACGAGGUUGAGCUUAGCCCCGAGCCUUCAGCAACAACUGGUUGUUCUUUUGCCGCAACUUCAGAUACAGUAGAUAGUACUGAUAAUGGGGAGCAGAAAAGUCAUCAGCGCCAUCUCAAGAAGUGCAGGUUCAAUGGGUGUUCCAAGGGCGGAAGGGGUGCCUCAGGGCUCUGUAUUUCCCAUGGCGGCGGUCACCGGUGCCAAAAGCCAGGUUGCAAUAAAGGGGCCGAGAGCCGAACUGCGUACUGCAAAUCUCACGGAGGAGGAAAGCGGUGCCAGGAGCUAGGCUGCACCAAAAGCGCCGAAGGGAAGACAGAGUUCUGCAUCGCUCAUGGCGGUGGGCACCGGUGCAGGGUUCAGGAGUGCUCCAAAGCAGCGCGGGGAAGAUCAGGAUUUUGCAUAAAGCACGGUGGAGGGAAGAGGUGCAUGAUGGAGGGCUGCACCAGGAGCGCCGAGGGAUAUCCCGGGGUGUGCAUCGCACAUGGAGGUGGUCGCCGGUGUCAGUACCCGGACUGCAGCAAGGGAGCACAGGGAGGCACCCUGUUCUGCAAGUCCCAUGGUGGAGGCAAACGGUGCAUAUCCGAAGGUUGCACCAAAGGGGCCGAGGGCAGCACGUUGCUAUGCAAAGGCCAUGGCGGCGGGAAGAGGUGCCUCUUCGAGGGAGACGCGGCAUGUCCUAAGAGUGUCCACGGCGGAACCAGCUUCUGCGUGGUGCACGGAGGGGGCAAGCGCUGCGCCGCACCAGGGUGCACCAAGAGUGCUCGUGGUCGCACCGAUUGCUGCGUGAGGCAUGGCGGCGGCAAGCGCUGCAAAUCCGAUGGGUGCGGCAAGAGCGCGCAGGGGAGCACGGACUUCUGCAAGGCGCACGGCGGGGGCAAGCGGUGCGCCUGGGGCGCCGCCGGCUGUGAGAAGUUUGCCAGGGGGAGGAGCGGUCUGUGCUCUGCUCAUGGAAACCUGACGGCCUCGAAGCAGGGCCUAAGCAUGACCGGGCCUGGCCUCUUCAGCGGGAUCGUCGUCGAGGGCAGCGGCGGCAUGGACCAUGUCAUCUCUUCUUCUCUCCCCGGCGCCUCCUCAGACUGCUGCGGCGAGUCGUCGGGAGAACACAUGCAGAGUGGCAGGCUCAUACCGCCACAGCUGCUGGUUCCUGGCUCCCUGCAGAAACCAUCGUCUUCGUUUAACCUGUCGGGCAAUGGCCACGAAGAAGAAGCUGGUGUUAGCCGGGACCAGAGCUUCGGGUUCGUCGUGCCGGAAGGAAGGGUGCACGGUGGAGGCCUCAUGUCGAUGCUCCGAGCAGGACACCUGGGAAGCAACAUCAACAACCCGGAAUCCUGA